UACGGGGGGAGCAAGCGUUUGUUCGGAUUUACUGGGCGUAAAGGGCGCGGUAGGCGGUCGUGACAAGUCACUUGUGAAAUCUCCGGGCUUAACUCGGAACGGUCAAGUGAUACUGUCGGACUAGAGUACAGAAGGGGCAACUGGAAUUCUCGGUGUAGCGGUGAAAUGCGUAGAUAUCGAGAGGAACACCUGGCGGCGAAGGCGGGUUGCUGGGCUGAUACUGACGCUGAGGCGCGGAAAGCCAGGGGAGCGAACGGG
rnacentral:rRNA from 1 species